CUUCCUUGCACCGGUGCUUUUCCCUUUCCUCUAUUCUCCUGUCCUCAUUUCCUUAUCCUUCUUUUCUAUUCUGUUCGAACACUUGCAACCAAUUCCAAAUAUAGAGUGUCUUGUUUUGAGUGACUCCGUGAGCUCCCCAGUGCUUCAGAUAGCCAUCGAGGGAAGACAGAUUCGGGAACUCCACUUCUGGUACUUCAGUCAUGCAUUUCCGAGGCUAGAUCAAGGAGGUCUGUGAGAAGUGACUCCCCUGCUUCUUCUGAUGUUUCUAGACCAACAAGCCGGAAGAAGUUCAAUGUUCUGGCCUCACCAUCUUACUGGCUGCAGCAGAUUAAGCUGUCUGAGGCUGCUGGCAAGCACUCGAUUUCACUCGGGUUUUUCAAACUAGCCUUGGAGGCUGAAUGUGAGUCUCUUCAACUGCGUUAUGAGCUCAAAUCUUACGUUGAUCGCUACGAGCUUAGUGACCUUGAAGACCCUCUGAAGGAAUUACUGGAGAGCAAAAGUGUUGCAUAGUAAGUUCAAAAGCCAUAAGACCGCCAACAUAGGAGAUAUGGCGUAAAAGCAAAUCAUUGGCGUACCUUGGCUGCCAACGUGAGGAAAAUACUUAAAUCGUCGUUGGAGAAUCACCUCCAUAACUUCUGCUCCUAUAAGUUUAGCAGCAUCAAUUGCAAGCUCUGUCACAGUUGGUCCCGUAAUAUCAACAGAAUUUCCAUAAGACGAGAAUAAUAAAAUAUCAGUGUCAGCAUAGAAUUUCUGCAUUGCAACUGGAUUUCCGAUUGUUGCAGGAUUGCUCAUAUAUUCUUCAAAGUAGAAGAAACCGAUCGGCAUAUGUUCUAUUCCUUUAACCUUCAAAACUAUAGUGUAGUAGUCAAUUGUCUGUACUUUGCUAAACAACUCCUUCUCGAAUAAGCUACAUAGUAUGUAGCUAAAUUAGACAAAUACAAACUGUGUGGUGUGAA